rnacentral:rRNA from 1 species
GGUUAAGCGACUAAGCGUACACGGUGGAUGCCCUGGCAGUCAGAGGCGAUGAAGGACGUGCUAAUCUGCGAUAAGCGCCGGUAAGGUGAUAUGAACCGUUAUAACCGGCGAUUUCCGAAUGGGGAAACCCAGUGUGAUUCGUCACACUAUCAUUAACUGAAUCCAUAGG